rnacentral:rRNA from 1 species
AGUGAAUAGAUACCCAGGUAGUCCUAGCCGUAAACGAUACUCGCUAGGUGUCGGCCACGGUGCGGCCGUUGUCGGUGCCGUAGGGAAAGCCGUGAAGCGAGCCACCUGGGAAGUACGGCCGCAAGGCUGAAACUUAAAGGAAUUGGCGGGGGAGCACCACAACGGGUGGAGCUUGCGGUUUAAAUUGGAUUCAACGCCGGAAAUCUUACCGGGACCGACAGCAAUAUGAAGGCCAGGCUGAAGACUUUGCCGGAUUAGCUGAGAGGUGGUGCAUGGCCGUCGUCAGUUCGUACUGUGAAGCAUCCUGUUAAGUCAGGCAACGAGCGAGACCCACGCCCACAGUUGCCAGCGUACUCUCCGGAGUGACGGGUACACUGUGGGGACCGCCGCUGCUAAAGCGGAGGAAGGAAUGGGCAACGGUAGGUCAGUAUGCCCCGAAUAUCCCGGGCUACACGCGAGCUACAAUGGUUGGUACAAUGGGUAUCUACCCCGAAAGGGGAUGGUAAUCUCCUUAAAUCCAAUCUUAGUCCGGAUUGAGGGCUGCAACUCGCCCUC